rnacentral:lncRNA from 1 species
UGCAGGUGCCAUGCCCAAUGCUCGUGAUCGGGUGCUGAAGCUGGCGAAUCAGGUCGGCGCUCCUGACCGGGUGCCCAAGAAGAAGAAGAAAACUGCGGCCCGUGUCUCGGAGAUUGCUGGCGAUGCCGGGGUCGUCCCUCGCAGGCGGCGAGCGUGAAUUCCUUCCUCUCCUCCUCGGCUUAACCGAUCACCAUUCCUGACAGCAGUCCGUCGCCAGCGGCUUCUCCCCUCCAUAAACGGAAGCGUC